ensembl:lncRNA
AAUAAUCGGUAGUGAUGAGGAGAGUAAGGAAGUCCGGAAGGAAGGAAGGAAGUAAGUAAGUAAGUAAGGAAGGAAGGAAGGAAGGAAGAAAGGAAGGAAGGAAGAUUUAAAUAUGCAGAUGCAUGGUAGAAAGCUGGUAGUGAAAUAUAAUCAGUGGGUAGACUGAAGCUGGGCAAACAUGGUAAGAUUUCCCCAAUCAGAAUAGCACAGCUUCAGGAUAAGAGCAGGCGAUACAGUUAGAAGAGUAUAGCAACAGCAGUGGAGGGUGGCCUGGUCUGUGUUGGGUAGGGAAAGGGGUAAGGUAACAAAAAGAAGGGCAGAUAUUCAAGAGUCUGUGAAUCUAUGAUUCUAUGGUGGCAUUCGAGGUGGAUUGAGUAAAAUCACAUUGGGAGGGCAAGGGUAUAGCUAGGUAACACAGUGAUUAGAGUGCCAGAUCUGAAAUCUGACCUCAGACACUUCCUAGCUAUAUGACAUGAUACUGAGCAAGCCACCUAAUCCUAAUUUUCGAGCCCUUGCCACUCUUUUGUCUUAGAAUUGAUUCUAAGACAGAAGGUAAGGGUUUUGGUUUGGUUUUUAAAUCACAUUAGAGGAAUCCUUCAAAAUGCUCUGAGGUACUGCAGCAAUCUGGAACUUAAUAAUUAAUAAACAUGAAAGAGUGCUACAAGCAGCACAGUGAAAACACUGGGCUUGGAGCCAGAAGACCUGAAUUGGAAUCCUGGCUUGACUACUUCCUCCCUAUCUGUGACCUUGAGCAAGUCAUGAACCCCUCUUUAGUCACUUCCAAAUGGAAGGAAGGAAGAAAGAAAAGAAGAAGGAAAGAAAAAGAAAGGAAAGAAAGAAAGAGAAAGAAAGAGAAAGAAAGAAAGAAAGAAAGAGAGAGAGAGAGAGAGAAAGAAAGAGAGAGAGAAAGAAAGAGAGAGAGAGAAAGAAAGAGAGAGAAAAAAAGAAAGAGAAAGAGAGAGAGAGAAAAAAGAAAGAAAGAGAGAGAGAGAGAAAGGGAGAAAGAGAGAAAGAGAGAAAGAGAGAGAGAAAGAGAGAAAGAGAGAAAGAGAGAAAGAGAGAAAGAGAGAAAGAGAGAAAGAGAGAAAGAGAGAAAGAGAGAAAGAGAGAAAGAGAGAAAGAGAGAAAGAGAGAAAGAAAGAAAGAAAGAAAGAAAGAAAGAAAGAAAGAAAGAAAGAAAGAAAGAAAGAAAGAAAGAAAGAAAGAAAGAAAGAAAGAAAGAAAGAAAGAAAGAAAGAAAGAAAGAAAGAAAGAAAGAAAGAAAGAAGGAGGGAGGGAGGGAGGGAGGGAGGGAGGGAGGGAAGAAGGAAGAAGGAGAAAGGAAGGAAGGAGGGAGGAAAAGAAAGGAGAAAGGAAGGGAAGGAAAGGGAAAGAGGAUACACAAUCAAGCAACAAGCAUUUUUUUUUAAACCUUUACCUUCCAUCUUAGAAACCAUACUCUGAGGGACAGCUGGAUUGCUCAGUGGAUGGAGAGCCAGGCCUAGAGACAGGAAGUCCUAUGUUCAAAUUUGGCCUCAGACACUUCCCAGCUGUAUGACCCUGAACAAGUCACUUGACCCCCAUUGCCUAGCCCUGAC